ensembl:lincRNA 9530052E02Rik RIKEN cDNA 9530052E02 gene
AGUGAGUUCCAGGACAGCCAGAACUGUAUUCUGUGACCCUGUCUACAAACAGAACAAACAAAACAAAAAGAAAAACAAACAAAGGGAAAAAAAGACACCUUUGGGAUAAAAGGUUAAGUUCUUAAAGUGACUGUCAGCUCCCAGGAAACCCAGCUGUCAGUGUAAUACAAAAUGCAGUGUAUCCCACUGUUUCAGAGUCAAAUCAGAGAGUGAUGUGGGGAAUCUUCAUGGUGGAUAUUCAUUACAUUAUCUUGGCAAAUUAUAGCUAUGGCAAAACAUGGAACUAAAUUCUCAUUCUCUCUCUCUCUCUCUCUCUCUCUCUCUCUCUCCCUCUCCCCCCCCACCUCACCUCCCUUUUCUCUCUUCCUCUUUCUUUCCUUGGAAUCUUUAACUGGGCUCCACCCUUGUGGUUAAGUUUCACUCACAGCAAUGCUGGCUUGAAGCAGAGUGGUUUAAAGAACAACACAAGUGUCCUCUGCCACCCCCACUCCCUCAUUUCCUACAGCUUGAUGGCAAAUGUCCUUUUCUGACACUGCUGCAGACCACUGAGUUCCUUCCCCUGGCCCAUGACUGCAGGACAGUUACGGGCGUGUGCCUCGGCUGCCUCCUUUCUGCAGAGUGGGUCUCCCUGUGCUUCUUACAGUUCUUUCCAUUGCCACUAAGUUGGAAUGUACGAGAAAUCCAUUGUGGAGAGUUCGAGAAGGGCCACCUUGGUAAAGGCCCCUCUCUUCUUUCCCUGCUCUCCAGAGAUUGCUGUAUGUCACAACAUAGAGGCCUUAGGGAGCCAUGUCCCCUAGAAAUUCAGAACGCAGGUCAGCCUCUGUCCCUUCCAACUGUGCAUGCUCACGCCGGCCUCUCCUUGAGCUCCUGGGGCUAGCCCAUUGCUGCUUUGGUUUUCCUGUCCCCACAGAUGAUUCCAGUGGGCAGCAAGUGUUGAGAGGCACCAAACUGGGCCACAGACUUAAAAGGUGACCCUAAGUAAACGGACAGGUGUGGAACGGACCAUGAGAAGCUGAGCCUGGAGAGAUGGCUCAGCAGUUAAGAGCACUGACUGCUCUUCCAGAAGACCUGAGUUCCGUUCCCAGCAGCGUGGCUCACAACCAUAUGAAAUUGAAUCAGAUGCCUUCCAAUGGUUACCUGAACUGCAGAUGGAUGUGUGCCAAAGACAGAAGAGAAACCUCUUCAGUGCCACUGUCUAUGACAGCCCUACAUCCUUUAGUGGCGAGUUAAGGGGACAUGUUAAAAUGCAUUCCUGCAACAAAGUUCCACCUGUGCGUGAACACUCAAUACCAUGGACCAGUGGUGACACAUGGAUAGCCGGUGACCAUGUGGUGGCUGUCAUUUGUCUUUAUAAAGUAGUCUUAUGUGACUGGAGCUCAUGGAGUGGUGGCAUAUGCAGUGUCCGGGACACAGGAGGAAUGCUUUCCUCAGAACGCCAGUUACACAUGUUUCUUAACUUGAGUGGAGGUGGGAGGCAGGUGUGUUCUCUUGGGAACUCUUCCACCUGUGCACUUUGGUGCACUUCUUGAGUGUUGAUCUUACAUAUUUUUAAUAAAAAAAAUUGAAAGUGCCUGU